rnacentral:sRNA from 1 species
GUGCUACUACAACCGCACUGCCAAGGUUUAAGUACGAAAGUCACCUUGUAACAGGCGAGUCUUAGUCUAAGG